rnacentral:rRNA from 1 species
UACAGAGGGUGCAAGCGUUGUUCGGAAUUAUUGGGCGUAAAGCGCGUGUAGGCGGCUUUUCAAGUCGAUUGUGAAAUCCCCGGGCUCAACCUGGGAACUGCAGUCGAGACUGUCUAGCUAGAGUAUGGGAGAGGGAAGUGGAAUUUCAGGUGUAGCGGUGAAAUGCGUAGAUAUCUGAAGGAACAUCAGUGGCGAAAGCGACUUCCUGGACCAAUACUGACGCUCAUGUGCGAAAGCGUGGGGAGCAAACAGG